UACGAAGGGGGCUAGCGUUGCUCGGAAUCACUGGGCGUAAAGGGUGCGUAGGCGGGUCUUUAAGUCAGGGGUGAAAUCCUGGAGCUCAACUCCAGAACUGCCUUUGAUACUGAAGAUCUUGAGUUCGGGAGAGGUGAGUGGAACUGCGAGUGUAGAGGUGAAAUUCGUAGAUAUUCGCAAGAACACCAGUGGCGAAGGCGGCUCACUGGCCCGAUACUGACACUGAGAGACGAAAGCUAGGGGAGCGAAUGGG
rnacentral:rRNA from 1 species